rnacentral:ncRNA from 1 species
UUUUCCGCGAAACCUAUCGAAGUAGGUUAUUAUAACUAACAUCAUGCAGGUACAGAACUUGAUCUUACUAGGCUAGUCGAAGAGAUAUUUUUCAACUAUAUCGGGGGAUCGUGAAGAUUUUAUCGUUAAGUAAUAGGUCUCGGAAUAGCAGAGAUGAAUGUAUAAUUAUCAGACAUAGUAUGCUAAGGUUGUAUGUCGAGAGGGAAACAGCCCAGAACAAGUGUAAAUAUAAGGUUCCAAAAUUAUUGUUAACAUGAAGUGAAAUAAAGAGAGUUUUUAUCUUAUUCGAUCAGGUGAUGGGCUUAGUGGCGGCCAUUUUUUAAAGACCUCGUAAUAGAGUACUGAUUCAAACAUCGGAAGACUUUCGGUGGGGAUAGAGACAUCUAAAAUUUAACGGAUCAAAACAAUAUACCGACACCUUGUCUAUAAUUAUAGUUGGAAUCCAUAUUAAGAGAUGGAAUGUCUAAUUUAAUUAUGGGGUAGCGGAACGUUGGGUAAUAUUAUUAAAUUAUUCUUUUUAAGAAUAAAAACACAUUAACCCAAGUG